UGGGGGAUAUUGCACAAUGGGCGAAAGCCUGAUGCAGCGACGCCGCGUGGGGGAUGAAGGCCUUCGGGUUGUAAACUUCUUUUGCUCUGAACAAGGCAUGCUAAUGGGUGUGUUGAGUGUAGGGGUUGAUUAGCGCCGGCUAACUACGUGCCAGCAGCCGCGGUAAUACGUAGGGCGCGAGCGUUGUCCGGAAUUAUUGGGCGUAAAGGGCUUGUAGGUGGCUGGUUGCGUCUGUCGUGAAAGCUCAUGGCUUAACUGUGGGUUUGCGGUGGGUACGGGCUGGCUUGAGGGCAGUAGGGGAGGCUGGAAUUCCUGGUGUAGCGGUGGAAUGCGCAGAUAUCAGGAGGAAUACCGGUGGCGAAGGCGGGUCUCUGGGCUGUUACUGACACUGAGGAGCGAAAGCAUGGGGAGCGAACAGG
rnacentral:rRNA from 1 species